AUUUGGACCGCAUAUUGUACAAAUGCGGUCCAGCCCCGCAUGAAACAAUUGUUAUUCAAAUUUGAUAGAUACAGAGCCCCUGUGGAUUCAAUUGCAACUCUAAAGCGUAUAGAGAGAAAGAGCCAUUGAACCUGUUGACUUAAUUGCUAGAGAGAGAGAGACAGGUUUCCAAAAUAUAUGUCCUGAUCGAGAGUUCUUCAGCAUUUCUUCAUAUGCAUUGCACGAAUGUCUUUCAUUAACAAACCCAUCACAUUUUGGGCUCUUAUAUUAAAA
rnacentral:lncRNA from 1 species